GUGGGAGAAGAGACUGGAGGGCGUCACUUCCACUUCUCUUCCCCCAGACUCCCCUGCAAUCCACUCGGGAGUCUGGGAGAAGAGCAGUGAAAGUCACGCCCUCCUCCUGACAUCAUCAG